CAGCCCCCAGCUCCAGCACCUCCCACCCUGCACCCCCGGACACCCCCGGCCCCACAGCGGGCCCCCCAUGAAGGUAAGGACCCGACCCUAGGGGCUGAGCACCUCGGCGAGGGGGGACGCCGAGCGGUGCGCCUCGCUUCUCCAUGGUGCUGGGUUGGUUUUUUUUUUUGGGGGGGGGAUCCCCGUGGGGUUGGGGUUUUGGGGUUGGAGUGGGGGGGUCCCUGCGGUGCUGGCACCGUUCCCCAGCCCCUUCCCCAGCAGGACGAGGUGGAGCUGCUGGGUCAGGACGGGCACAUCUACAAGGGCCGGCGGGACCUGCGGCUGCCUGCGCUGGUGGGGAAGGACGGCACCCCCAGACCCCAGGAGUCACCCCACGGCCGCGUCCCCCAAGGACCGGGGCUCCCCUCGCCCCCGUGGGCGCCGCGGGAUGGGAGAGAGACCCCAAGAGCGGAGAGGGGCCGGGGGGGCUCGGCUGGGAGCCCCCCCUGGGCACCACACGGGGGGGUCGGGCAGGAGCAAUAAAGGGCGGUGGAUGGGCAGCUAGGAGCGAGGGUCCCCAUCCCAGCUGGUGCGUCCCUAUAGGAUCGGGGCUGCGUGCCCCAGCCCUUGCUGGUGUCCCCCAGGGGGUCCCCAAAGAGCCCUUGGGGUGCUGGCAGGGGUCUGGCUGUGUCUGCGAGAGGGGAUGUUUGGGAAACCCCAUCCUGAGAGUGGGGUUUGCCUAAAAACACUGGGAACAGCAGGAAAACCCAGCGGUGCCAGCCCCGAUCCCCAGCUUUUGGGGACAGCGGUCACAGGGACACGUGCUGGCUCCGGAUGGCACCGAUCCCACAGCGCCUGGUGGGGCUGGGAGACCCCCGGGAGAUCCCCCAGGAACCAGACCCUACAGGGACAGGAUCCCCCAGAGAUCAGAUCCUACAGGGACCAGCCCCCAUGGGUGUCCCCAAGUCCCCCCUGGGUGUCCCCAAAUCCCCAAGGUCACCCCCUCGUAGCACAGAGAGAGGUCGGGGACAGCUGCUGUUAAAAAACUGAUUUUUUUUUUUUUAUUAUUUUUAAAUUAAUAAAAAACCUUCAACCUGUUUUCCUUUUUUUUUU
rnacentral:lncRNA from 1 species